GAUGAACGCUGGCGGCGUGCCUAAUACAUGCAAGUCGAGCGAACGGACGAGACGCUUGCUUCUCUGACGUUAGCGGCGGACGGGUGAGUAACACGUGGAUAACCUACCUAUAAGACUGGGAUCACUUCGGGAAACCGGAGCUAAUACCGGAUGAUCUUUUGAACCGCAUUGUUCAAAAGUGAUUGACGGUCAUGCUGUCACUUAUCGAUAGAUCCGCGCUGCAUUAUCUAGUUGGUAGGGUAACGGCUUACCAAGGCAACGAUGCAUAGCCGACCUGAGAGGGUGAUCGGCCACACUGGAACUGAGACACGGUCCAGACUCCUACGGGAGGCAGCAGUAGGGAAUCUUCCGCAAUGGGCGAAAGCCUGACGGAGCAACGCGGCGUGAGUGAUGAAGGUCUUCGGAUCGUAAAACUCUGUGAUUAGGGAGGAACAGAUGUGUAAUUAACUGUGCACAUCGUGACGGUACCUAAUCAGAAAGCCACGGCUAACUACGUG
rnacentral:rRNA from 1 species